GAUGAACGCUGGCGGCGUGCCUAAUACAUGCAAGUCGAGCGAACGGACGAGAAGCUUGCUUCUCUGAUGUUAGCGGCGGACGGGUGAGUAACACGUGGAUAACCUACCUAUAAGACUGGGAUAACUUCGGGAAACCGGAGCUAAUACCGGAUAAUAUUUUGAACCGCAUGGUUCAAAAGUGAAAGACGGUCUUGCUGUCACUUAUAGAUGGAUCCGCGCUGCAUUAGCUAGUUGGUAAGGUAACGGCUUACCAAGGCAACGAUGCAUAGCCGACCUGAGAGGGUGAUCGGCCACCCUGGAACUGAGACACGGUCCAGACUCCUACGGGAGGCAGCAAUAGGGAAUCUUCCGCAAUGGGCGAAAGCCUGACGGAGCAACGCCGCGUGAGUGAUGAAGGUCUUCGGAUCGUAAAACUCUGUUAUUAGGGAAGAACAUAUGUGUAAGUAACUGUGCACAUCUUGACGGUACCUAAUCAGAAAGCCACGGCUAACUACGUG
rnacentral:rRNA from 1 species